rnacentral:rRNA from 1 species
CAGCAGCCGCGGGAAUACAGAGGGUGCGAGCGUUAAUCGGAUUUACUGGGCGUAAAGCGUGCGUAGGCGGCUUUUUAAGUCGGAUGUGAAAUCCCUGAGCUUAACUUAGGAAUUGCAUUCGAUACUGGGAAGCUAGAGUAUGGGAGAGGAUGGUAGAAUUCCAGGUGUAGCGGUGAAAUGCGUAGAGAUCUGGAGGAAUACCGAUGGCGAAGGCAGCCAUCUGGCCUAAUACUGACGCUGAGGUACGAAAGCAUGGGGAGCAAACAGGAUUAGAUACCCCCGUAGUCCUGUCUCUUAUACA